UACGAAGGGGGCUAGCGUUGCUCGGAAUACUGGGCGUAAAGCGUGCGCAGGCGGUUUUGUAAGCCAGAUGUGAAAUCCCCGGGCUUAACCUGGGAAUGGCAUUUGGGACUGCAAGGCUGGAGUUUGGCAGAGGAGACUGGAAUUCCUGGUGUAGCAGUGAAAUGCGUAGAUAUCAGAAAGGAAUACCGAUGGCGAAGGCAGGUCUCUGGGCUAUAACUGACGCUCAUGCACGAAAGCGUGGGAGCGA
rnacentral:rRNA from 1 species